GGCAGGUUGCCAGUUUCUUAUAGCAUCUGACCAUCAGGGAGAAACAGCCCCUGCCCAGGAAAGCCUUUGAAGGAAUGGCUGGGAUAGAUGUUGAGUGGGAGGGACAUUGAGAGUGGCAGGGGUGGAGGGGAUCAUCUUGUCAGUCUCCUUUUGUUGGUAGAUAUCUUCACAUUAAAGUGACUUGCUCACCUACACAACCCACUUGCUGUGAGAAUUGGGCUAUUGAAAAAUACUUGGUAACGAGGACCCCCAGAGCAUAACCCCCAUGGUACAGACAAGGAAACUGAGACUCAGAGAGGUUAGGUGACUUGCCCAUGGUCACACUGUGAGAAAGUGGUAGAACCAGGCUUUGACCCUGAAGCACCCACAGCUCAUCCAUCCCUCCUGCUCCCAAUGUCACAGGUGUCAACCGAUUCUAUGACAAUAUCCAAGAGAUGGUUGGAUCCAGGCCCUGCAUCUGGUGGAAACUCUGCUGGUCUUUCUUCACACCAAUCAUUGUGGCGGGCGUGUUCAUUUUCAGUGCUGUGCAGAUGACGCCACUCACCAUGGGAAACUAUGUUUUCCCCAAGUGGGGCCAGGGUGUGGGCUGGCUGAUGGCUCUGUCUUCCAUGGUCCUCAUCCCCGGGUACAUGGCCUACAUGUUCCUCACCUUAAAGGGCUCCCUGAAGCAGCGCAUCCAAGUCAUGGUCCAGCCCAGCGAAGACAUCGUUCGCCCAGAGAAUGGUCCUGAGCAGCCCCAGGCGGGCAGCUCCACCAGCAAGGAGGCCUACAUCUAGGGUGGGGGCCACUCACCGACCCGACACUCUCACCCCCCGACCUGGCUGAGUGUGACCACCACUUGAUGUCUGAGGAUACCUUCCAUCUCAACCUACCUCGAGUGGCGAGUCCAGACACCAUCACCACGCAGAGAGGGGAGGUGGGAGGACAGUUAGACCCCUGGGUGGGCCCUGCCGUGGGCAAGGAUACCCGGUGGCUUCUGGCACCUGGCGGGCUGGUGACCUUUUUAAUCCAGGCCCCAUCAGCAUCCCACGAUCGGCCUUGGUAACCGCCGCGGUAGAUCAUUUUUAUCCCGCCAGGGAGUGUGAUGC
rnacentral:sRNA from 1 species